rnacentral:rRNA from 1 species
AGGAUCAUUAAUAAAUGCUUCAUUGCAUCCACCUUUUGUGCACUGUAAAUAUUUCACUUGAAUUUUGUCUGAUUAAUCUUUGUUCUGAAAGGAACAUGAAUUAUAAUCUAAUACAACUUUUAACAAUGGAUCUCUUGGCUCUCGCAUCGAUGAAGAACGCAGCGAAAUGCGAUAAGUAAUGUGAAUUGCAGAAUUCAGUGAAUCAUCGAAUCUUUGAACGCAUAUUGCGCUCUUUGGUAUUCCAGAGAGCAUGCCUGUUUGAGUAUUGGUACUAUGGGUGAACUUCCUUUGAAUUUUCAAAGUAAAAUCAUUUAAAACCCUAUUGAGACGUCUUGGCAAUCUUUUUUGACAAGUGUCUUAAAAUUCAAUUGAAUUUUCCAUGUUCCAGUGGAAGGCGACUAGUGUAUGGAGUAAUAUGGUAAGGGUUGCCCCUGACCUGAAAAAGUGCUGUAAAAAGUUAUUUUUCUUACUUUUUUACUAGUUUCCUUUAUGCUGGAACAUGAUCUUUGAAUGCCCUUGAAGACGACAUUCAAAAUUUUAAGCUCAAUCUCAAAUCAGGUAGGAUUACCCGCUGAACUUAAGCAUAUUAAUAAGCGGAGGAAAAGAAACUAACAAGGAUUCCCCUAGUAACGGCGAGUGAAGCGGGAAGAGCUCAAAUUUGGAAUCUGGGUAGGUCUCCUGCUCCGAGUUGUAAUCUAUAGACGUG